UUUUUUGUUUUUUUUUUUUUUUGGCUUCACCUGCAACAUGUGUAAGUUCCCAGGCCAGGGAUCAAACCUGUACCAUAGCGGUGACAAUGUCAGAUCCUUAACUGCCAGGCCACCAAGGAACUCCAAUUUUUUUUUUUUUAAUAAAAGAAAAAAUUGCAUAAUACAUGUAAACAUUUGCAAAGGGGCUUUCAUCUAAUUCAUGAAGAAACUGUAUUCUGUAGUUCCAAGUCAAUCUGAGGCAGGAUACAUAUUUUUUCAUUUCUAUUAAAACAGACUAUUUUCAAAGGCAGUUUUAGGUUUAAAGCAAAAGCAGGAAGUACAAUAUUAUAAUGGUGGAUACACAUCAGCAUCUAUCUGUUCCAAUUCACAGAGGGUACCAGCACUGAGAGGGGGCCCUUAUGUAAACUGUGGACAGUGGCAGAUGAUGUCUCCAGGAAGGGCCAUCGCUUGUAGCAGCAGAUGGACCUUUUUGGUGUGGGAUGUGGCACUGUCACCGCUAUGGUAAUGAGACUUGCAACUUCUGCAGAAAUUUCCCUCCAAAGACUAUUUCUGAUGCUUUUACUCAACGCUCAACUUUUCUGCAGGUCUGAGGUGUUUCUGAUAAAAAGUUAGAGGCAAAAAGCAGUUUCUCUCCUGGAGACAAGUGACACCACUGGCAUUUAGAAUAAGAUUUCCCCUCUUCCCUGGCUACAAAUACAAGCGUCUCCCAGCACCUCCCUGUGUGAGGUAAGAUAAGGAUUUUGUCAUCUUCUAUUAAUAGGGAGGGAUUCUGAGUCACAGAAGGGGUAAGUGAUUUUUUUCUAGCCCCAGAAAUAAGAGGAGUAAAAUGAAGCAAGAUGAUUGAUGCAUUAUUUUAGGAACGGGACCACUGCGGCGGAGAGCAGCAUUUUCUUGAACAACGGCAACUGCUUCCUAAUUGGUUUUCCUGCUCCCAGUUUCUCUCUCCCCUGCAGUCUACUCACCCCUUUUUUCCCAGAGCCAGAUUCUGAACUCACGGCACACCCCUCUAAAAACAUCUGUGAUGCCUUCUCACUGCCUAAAGGAAAGUCCCACACUCUUUAGCAGGACCUCCAGAGCCCAGGUGCAGCUGGCUUUAAACCACCUCUCCUCUUUCUCUGCCCCUCUGUGCCCCUGGUACCGCUCAACUGCUCUCCAGUUCUCAUGCGUGUCCAUCCAUCCUCCAAUCCCACGCGCAGGCCAUCUGGCCCUUACCUGGCUUGACCUUCCUCUCCUGUGCCUCUAGGACGGGGGAGAGGGGGGGUCUGCUUAUCCACAGGGAUCGACCUCGACGACCGUCUUCUCUGGGACAUUUCCCAACACCCAAGGUCAACGAAUCCACUUCUUCCUCUUGUUCCCACAGCACUUUUUUCCCCCCCUACGGCAAUGGCUAUAUUUCCUUCCUUACAUUCUAGCAACCUGGGCACGUGUCUAACCUCCCCCAUCAGACUUAUUCUUUUGCGACAGCAGGGUCUGACGCUUGCUGACUUCCACGGGCCCUAGCAAUCCUUUCAGAUCAUUUCAGGAACACCAGGUGCAUGGCAAAAGGCCUGAUGCUGUUAUUAAAAGAAACCUUCUUUUAGGCAAAACCACAGGCAGAUCGGGGUACUGUUUCAGGCGUCCGUGCCAGUUCAAGAGUGGAGUUGACAAUGACAAGCAGAUUAGGCAUAUCUAAGGUCUGUUGUGAAGGUCUGAUAUUUGUGGAUAAAAUGUACUAUUUGACUCAUCCUUCCAGGUGAAUGUCUAUACUUGUGGACUAGAGCUGGUGGGUGGGGAAUCUGGCUGUCUGAGCUCUGAGGAGCAUCUCAAAAUGUGGUCCAUCUGUCAGAGCCACUCUUGGCUUCUGGGCUAUGGGGCAGUUGCCUGGGUCCCUCUUGAGACCUCAGAGUCCCUGAGUGGGAGGCUGGGGUGUGGACUACAGGCAAGUACCUCCAGCUGUUUCUAAACCUUUAUUUUGAGACCCACUGGGCUGGCCAGAAGCCUCUCCCUAGGCAGGGGGAAUGAUGGCGGUGAGUUAUGAAUCCUUCUAAAGCGGAGGUUCUCAGCCCGGGCUGCAUACGAGAAUUCACCGGGGACCUUCUGAAACAUAUGGAUGCCUGAGACCCGCCUUACAUCGUUUAAGUCAGACUUCCUGGAGCUGGGACUUGAGCAUCUCUAUUUUUCGAAAGCUUUGCUUCUGAGCCAAGGUGGCUGUUAGACAAAUGUCAGAUUCUCUGGAUAGAAAUCAGGGGCCUCUAGUGGUUAAAGGCCCUAGAUUUAGGUCACACUCCUCACUGCACUCCAUCUCACUCUCACUCGAACAGUUAAUCUCCAACCAAAUUUAACCAGACCAAAAAAACCACGUUUUAGCAAGGAGGUACAGUCAUCCCAACUGAGUCCUUCUUCCAGGUCCGUGUUUGAAUUAACAGCACCUUGCAUGAAAGAGCCAUGCUGAAGGGAAGGCAGUCAGGUUCCCAAAUAAAGCGCAGGAUCCUAGGGGAAGCAGAGGGUCACAGGCCCCAGCCCUGGGGACUGCAUGGCUAUAGGUGCAGGUGCGCUGGCUGCCUUCUUGUAUGUGGUCCUGAGAGAUCCAUGGGUCCUGUCAUACCUCCCCUAACAAGGACACUUUGCAAAUGCCACCAAUUUCAGCAACAGAAAUAACUUUUUAGCAUCUUUUAUGCAAGUUAAAAAAAAACAAACACACACACAGGUCACUAAGUCUAAGGUAUUGGUUCGUAUUAGAGAGCGGCACAGCUAAUUCUCCAUCUUGCAAGCAUAGAGCCCCACCGAAUUACUAAAAGGACAUCAGCCUACAGACAACAUAACAAAAGGCAGAGAAAUCCCCCUCCGAAGGUUUCUUCCUUGGAAAACUGGUUAGGCAAGGAAGGUGUGGUGGGGACGGGGGAGGGGGGAGUGGGGGGAGGAAGGGUUGACCUAGCACAAGGGUUUAGACUUUCGGAGUUUGGGUCAAGAAUCUAACUUCAGAUGGCUCUAGAAAAACUUCACGGGGUUUACACCAAAAGAUGCACACUUGUCAGACAUUUAUAAAAAUAACCUUGGCAUCCUAAGUGUGCAAAAAAUUCCUGUAGAAACUGUGCUGAGCGGGUGGCCAGUUUACUCAAGGCUAGGUAUGUUUCUACAAAGUGGCCUUGAGCAGGGAACUCUUCAUCCAUGAAUGGAAGAUUCUUUCCAGUCAUGGGAGACUUGCUCUCACACCCACCCCCGCCACCAGAAAAGCCCUUGCUAGGCUAGACGCCCCAAGAAGGAAGGAACCUCCCAGGCACAUUUCUUAGGUGCAGGACGCUUAAGAGCUUAAGUGUAUAAAUGGGUGCUCCCACCAGCGACUGCAAACCCAGAUCAGUGAGGAUGGUUACAAUGGUUGGUCUGGGCCGGGAGACUUCCUUUUUUUUUUGGUCUUUUUAGAGCUCCACCUGCAGCAUAGGGAAGUACCCAGUCUAGGGGUCGACUUAGAGCCGCAGCUGCUGGCCUACACUACAGCCACAGCAAUGCCAGAUCUGAGCGACAUGUGUGACCUACAAUGCAGCUCAUGGCUACACAGGAUCCCCCGCCCACUGGGGGAAGCCAGGGAUGGAACCCGCAUCCUCAUGGGUACUAGUUGGGUUGUCACCGCUGAGCCGCAGCAGGAACUCUUGGGCCAGGAGACUUCCAACCUGCCUCCUGCAGACUGUGCCGUGAAUAGGAACAGCUAAGAGCCCGCGGUGACGGAGGGGGCAGGUGGCUGCUGUUUCAGCAGGCGAGUCCUGGACUGCUGGGAAGUCCCUCUGAAGCAACCAGCAUCCUCAGCAUCCCCAAUUUAUCCAGAUCUCUUGACAUAGUGAGAAACUGUCACUUCUGUGCUGCCGACAUCAGCAACGAAGGGGGGUGGUAAAACAAUCAACUCUCGUCUUUAACUUGUUCCCUUUUUUCCCCAGAAUCUUGCAUGGGAUUUUUUUCCCCUGUUCUUAAGAGCAAAAUCGACACUGUAGUAUUUCUCAUUACAUAAUCCUUUUCCAGUAAGGUCAAUAAACAUUUAUUUAGAGUGUGUGACUAAUAAAACAGGUAACUGUCAUGGAAUUAUUAUUGUUUCAGGACUUUUCCUACUCUCUUACUAAUAUAACCCAUCUAUUACAAUAGUCCCGUGAUAGGCUAUCUUCAUUUUACAGAUAAGGAAACUCAGGUAUACAGAGGUUAUGUGUUUUCCUGCAGAGUCACAUGCUGGAAAGGUUUACAAUCCAGGUUGGUUUGACUCUGGAACUCGCAGUCUUGAGGAGCCAGAUAAAAUUUAACAAACAAUCUAGACACUACUGUUUUUUUAACAGGUUGCACAAAGUCUCCUUAUCUAGUACGGAGCAGGGUGUACUAAAGAGGCUUUGAAGGGACUGAAAUAUUUGGAUUCCAGGGGAAUCAUCUGACAUUUGAGCCCAGCCCUCCCCACGAUAAAACCGUGGUGACAAUACCCUUGCUAUGCCAAAUCAUCACAGGAGUUAGACCGGGAACAUGCAAAGCUUGGUGCAGAAUAAAUGUAGGGUUAUGUUGUUAUUUUUGUGCCAUAUCCGAAUGGAACUUUUGCAAUUAACCCACCCAAUGGCCUAAAGCAGCACCACUUAGACUGGGGUCUGGAGGCCCCUGAGGUUGAGUUCUCAAGUCUGACAAACUCAGCUAAAGCCUUCCUUGUGGGGUGGGCACAUAGAGUUAUCUUCACGGAGGCAAAAACACAGGCUGGGCAGGAAAUUCAGUACCUACUUAGCAAAAUAAUGACUUCUCUGACACCACAGCUAUUUACGCUUACGCUCACGCCUGCGUAAAUAAGGCAACACAAGCUGAGGAGAAGUCGUCAGAGGAAACCAGGCCCACACAAGGAGGCACAAGGCAAAUAUUCUGCAGGUAGACACAGCAUGGCCAAUGCUUAGGACGCUGCCCACAUGAGGCCUCAUGACAUGACCAUGGAAGAUUCUGGAAAGAUGAAUAUAUAGACAGUCCCUCACCUCCCUGGCAGGAAAUGUCAGCCUAGUUUCCCACUAAGGAUCAUCGCCAGGGCUUUGGAAAUAUUACAACAGGCAGCAGGAUGCCAUUGCUCUUUUUCCCAAACAAAAUGGAAACCAAAUCCCCCAGAACCAGUCGUGAACGCGCUUGGCUUUGCUGCGGAUACAGAGACCCCAGCCUCCUGAUACCUUCUUACCUGUACAGGCACAUGUAGGAAACUAAGGGAUAAGAGGAAAGAAUCAAUGAAAUGUCUCCCAAGGGUCAAUGAAAUGUUUUCCCACUGGAGGAAAGGAACAAAAAGCAUCUGAAAGGAGAAAGCCACGCUGCUCUCUUUAAGUGAAUUUCCUGCACCGGGGCUGACUAACUUCCCAAGAAUGUCCUUGAUACAGUCUCUGUGGGAUCCUGCGUGUACAUUAAUGGGCAUUGCAUCAGGUGACAGGAAACAGCAACACAAAAAAGCUGGCGAAGGCUGUCGCUUUGAAAAGCUUAGUCUGACUGGGGCCCGGGUCUGGAUUUCUCAGUAGGUCCAGGUCUUCCUCAGGUGGUGUCAUUCGCGCAAGGUGUGAACGUGCCACCUCCUGCCUCCGACCACCCCCUCGAGGGGGCUCUGGGUGUGACUGGCCCACUGCUGUUGGUUGCCUCUGACUGUGUCUGCCUUGCCCACCACUGUGGCAUCGUGGGGGAAAUCAGCUUCUCAACCCCGAGCAGGCUGCCGGGAGCUGCCCCAUCGCCCACCAGGAUCUGCAGCCUGGGCAUGCUCACGGGGGGCGCAUGUUCGAAGCUCCCGUUGGUUUUCUCCGUGUACAGCCCACCGCCGUGUCUUACCUGAGUGUCCCAUCGUCAGUCCUUUGGGUUCCGCAGGUCCUGCCGGGCAGACAAACGUUGCUGUCUUUUGGAGGCUCCUGUCAGGACAGCUCAGCGUGAGUUUUGUGAACCUCAUAUGCCCUUUACUUCAAGUCAGACUAUUUGCAACCUAGUUCUCAAAGGCAGUGAAAUCCCGUUCUAAGGUCAGCUGUUCUGAAAGCCAGCGAUGCUCACUUCGAGGCCCUCUAAAAAAGAAUCCUGCAUAUGCUACCAGACUCUGGCUUUAGUCAGAUCUUCCAAAACACGCUCUCCCCACGAGUGGAAGAUCGGUGUGGCCACUUUCACGGGAUGUGUUAAUAAAUGGCAUUGUAUUCAGAGAUCACACCACAAAGAUGCAUGGUCACACGAACCUCGUGCAUCGCGAGUGUUCUCAAACACAGGAAAAUUCCAGCAAAAGUGGGACUACUUCUCUGAUAACCAAGCAAACAUUUCUAAUUGAAAGACCGACAUUUAAGGAACCUUCCAAGGGAAGACAGCAGGAAGAUUUCAAGCACGAGUGCUCAGUGUGUGCACGCGCACACACGCUCACCGAGCAGGAUCUAUGAAACUGCUUUUGUGCACUUACAAAAAAUGGAUCGGCGCUGACCUGCUGUAUUCUCCAACCUAUAAACACAGCUGUUUACAUGUGAACAAAACCCUCAGCAGGGAACUGAGGCGUCCAGAGGUAAGGAAGCCUGUUGUUCUUUCAGUCCCCAGGAAUCUCCUGAGAGAGCGCUUCCUGGGAGCUCUGCCCCCAGGACCAGGACGAGGAGAUUCAAGCCGCAUCACCUGCAACAGGGAGUCAGCUUUCCGCAGAAAUGAAGCAGCGAGUUAAAGAAACAUGUGCUGGGCACCCACUUUGUGGCCCACACCUACUGUGUGUCAUCCUGGCCGUCUCGAACCCUCGCCCUUCUUUGAUGCAGAGGUAACGAUUCCCCAUUCUACCUAUGCUGGAUUCUGGCCCUGGUGUUUCUCCACAGCACUUUCCCUUUCUCAUAUACUGUAUAAUUAUUUAGUUUAUUGUCUCUACUCACUGGAACAUAAGCUCCAGGAGGGCAGGAGGCUCGUCUGUUUUAUGUACUCCUGCUUUCCUGGAACCUCAAGGGAACGAAUGAAUGGAGGUCUAGAGAGGCUAAAUUACUCGUUUCUGUCACACGACUCGUUAGGGACAGAGCUGAGGGUUGAACUGAGGCCCACGUGCUGCACUGACACACACCAGUAACGGCAGCUGUGGGGAUCAGACUCUAAGACGCAUCCCAAGACAGAAUGAUACAUGGCAUUUAUGGAAUGGUUGUCCAGUGGUGCAUGCAGUCGAAGAAAACCACUAGAUGUGAAAGGAGCAGGAAGGAAAGGAGCCUAACUUUUGAUCCUGGACAUCUGUGAGGAAGGAGCAACAUAAUAUGUGAAGCUGGAAAAGCCUGCAGGACAAAAUUCCAAGUGCAGACCUCGAAUCCUCCCAAUGCCAGCAGGAACAGAGAAAGGUGGUGGGCUAGUCUCCACGACGCCCUGCCUGUGGUCAUCUUUAAGGGUCUGUGAAGAGUCAGGCCUCAAACCCCCGACCCUACUGUUGGCUACUGUGUGACCUCAGGCAAUCCUUCCUCUCUGUAAACGGGGAAUAAUCUGCAUGGGGUUUUCUGAAGCCUGAAGGAAAUAUGCAUGGAAACACAGGAAUCGUGCUCCCCCCCCCCCCCAGGUAAAUGCCCACCACAUAUUACUUCUAAUUAUGCCAGUUUAGAGUUUAAGAGGGACCUGUAGGGAGAGGUCAGAAAGGUAGCUGUGUAUAUUCUGCAUUUAACCACGUGCAAAGAUUCUGACCCUGACCUGUACCAGCACCUGCUUUGCCUGACAGCUGAAGUGCGAUGGAUGAAACCGUGUAGGCCGUUUCUCAGAGGAUUUCUCAUUAGACUAGAAAGUUCAAGGUUGCCUGUUAGGCCUCAAGGGGCGUCUUUGGGAUGGAAAGGACCCAGGCAGUUCUGCAGGUUGGCAAUUCAGAAAGAUAAAGAUAACAUCAACAGUCAAUGACACAUCAACAACGUGUUAAGGCAGCUCGCUGUACCCAUUCAAUCAUCACAGCGAUUCUACCAUACUGACCGAUUCUAUACAUAUUUUUAAAAAUCAUUUUAAAAAUAUGAUUUACGUGGCAGACUGCGGAAUGAGAGUUACAUGAUAAUACUUGGGAAGAGGUAAGGGCACAAUUGAAACCCA
ensembl:lncRNA